rnacentral:rRNA from 1 species
UGGGGAAUAUUGCACAAUGGGGGAAACCCUGAUGCAGCGACGCCGCGUGAACGAAGAAGGUAUUCGUAUCGUAAAGUUCUGUCCUAUGGGAAGAUAAUGACAGUACCAUAGAAGAAAGCUCCUGCUAAAUACGUGCCAGCAGCCGCGGUAAUACGUAUGGAGCGAGCGUUGUCCGGAAUUAUUGGGCGUAAAGGGUACGCAGGCGGUUUAAUAAGUCGAAUGUUAAAGAUCGGGGCUCAACCCCGCAAAGCAUUGGAAACUGAUAAACUUGAGUAGUGGAGAGGAAAGUGGAAUUCCUAGUGUAGUGGUGAAAUACGUAGAUAUUAGGAGGAAUACCAGUAGCGAAGGCGACUUUCUGGACACAAACUGACGCUGAGGUACGAAAGCGUGGGGAGCAAACAGG